rnacentral:lncRNA from 1 species
CUUGGGGAGACCUGGGAAUUGAGAGAAAUUUCUGACCCAGUGCAACUGGAGGUUCCUUGUUACACUUCCUAGGUGAGGUGCUCACUUAUCAGUGGAACAUCCCAGAGAGAUCUGGCCCUGGGCCCAAUGACUCUGCUUGUGUUUCCUGGAUCUAUUAUUCUGCAGUGGAUCCCAUCAAGCAAUCAAUGGGAAACUCUAUGCCAACCUUAGAGGUCUUACCAUGUACCAAGGAGAACGAGUGGCCUGGUACAUGCUGGGCAUGGGCCAAGAUGUGGAUCUGCAUACCAUCCACUUUCAUGCAGAGAGCUUUCUGUAUCGGGUGAGCUGGAAAGUGGGCUGAGUCCCUCAAGGAUGAUUAGAACAGUGGUUUAGGAGCAAUUGAGAAAAAGGGUAAUAGCGUGGAACAAGGUAACAAUUAGUUAAAAGAGCAGAGGUCUAGUAAAUGGAGCACUGAGCUGGAAAUUUUAGUCUGGCUGUAUAUCCCAGGGUCAAUAACUUCCUACUAGGCCCUAGCUUUCCCUUCUGAUGUGGAAGAGAAAAAAUGGCCCAUUUAUAGGUAAGGAGACUGAAGGAAUCAAUAUCAAGACUCAAUGUCAAGGACUCAAUGUCAAGGAAUCAAUGUCAAGGACUUGAGACUCAAUGAGCAGUGAUUUUUAAGAACAAGGAAUGUCAGGGUGGCAUCUCAGAAUUGCUGAAAGUCCUUAAUCUAUUAAAAGAAGAGCUUACCAAACACCGCAUGUUCUUACUCAUGGGUGGGAACUGAACAAUGAGAUCACUUGGACUCGGGAAGGGGAACAUCAC